rnacentral:rRNA from 1 species
AUUGAACGCUGGCGGCAGGCCUAACACAUGCAAGUCGAACGAGUGGCGGACGGGUGAGUAAUGUCUGGGAAACUGCCCGAUGGUGGGGGAUAACUACUGGAAACGGUAGCUAAUACCGCAUACUAUCGGAUGUGCCCAGAUGGGAUUAGCUAGUAGGUGGGGUAACGGCUGACCUCGGCGACGAGGCCUAGCGGGUCUGAGAGGAUGACCGGCCACAGUGGAACUGAGACACGGUCCAAACUCCUACGGGAGGCAGCAGUGGGGAAUAUGGCACAAUGGGCGCAAGCCUGAUGCAGCCAUGCCGCGUGUAUGAAGAAGGCCUUCGGGUUGUAAAGUACUUUCAUCGGGGAGGCGUUACUCGCAGAGGAAGCACCGGCUAACUCCGUGCCAGCAGCCGCGGUAAUUC